GCAGGACAGGGUUGUUUCUGGCCAAUAGUUUUGCUAAGUGCCUUUCUUUAGCCCUCCUCUCUUCAAGGCGGGCCCUUGCACUGAGGGAAUUAACUUCACCCAUCUGUCUUCUGAGACCAGUAAUAACUGCCUCUGCUGGUUGCUAGGGAACGCAGCUUUCCCUGCUUGUAACUCUUCCAGCUGAAUCCCCCUCCGGCUGAUGACCCUCCUGUAAUUCCUCUUUGUCCCUGAAAUUCUGGGAAGUGGCUAAGGUUGAGAAGCCCUGAUCUAAUUCACAGAGAUACUGACUCAUGGACAAUGAACCAAAAGCAGCAGCAGCAACCAGACCACAAUCUGCACUGAAAGAGACAGUGGAGCAAUAAUCACAGGUAUCUUGCAAGACCCUGGAAGAGGAGACAGUUCUUUAUCUUUUUGAGGACAGGUAUUGUGUUUCUGUUGUCCUCUACAUUUUUCAAACAGCAAGCCAUACUAUUCAUUAAAAAAAGGUGAAAAAUGCAAAUGGAAGAAAUUGCCCCCUUUGGUAGCUCAAGUCCAAGAUGUAAAGCCAUUUUACAUUACAAAAGACUAUACUGCUGGAAAUUCUAGAUGUUGUAUUACUCAUACUGUUACUGGUUGUUUUUUUUUUAAAGAAGCAACACAAAGGAGUCAUCCUGUAUGUUAAAAACAUCAAUAACUACUCAGAACUUCAAGUGAAUUAGCUUCACAAUCUUCCAGAGAACAUCUGGGUUAAAAAAGUGGAAGAAUAAAUAAAAGCAACAGAGUUGCAGUUAUUUAUUGCUAUCUAUGCAACCAAGAUGAUGAUGUCUUGGUGAUCCUUUCCAAAACAAAUGGUUGAUCUUUGUAAAUGGGAAAUAAAAGUAAUGGGGGACUUUGACUCUCCCACCAUCUGCUAAGAAACAA